UAGGGAAUCUUCCNCAAUGGACGCAAGUCUGAUGGAGCAACGCCGCGUGAGUGAAGAAGGUCUUCGGAUCGUAAAGCUCUGUUGUUGGUGAAGAAGGAUAGAGGCAGUAACUGGUCUUUAUUUGACGGUAAUCAACCAGAAAGUCACGGCUAACUACGUGCCAGCAGCCGCGGUAAUACGUAGGUGGCAAGCGUUGUCCGGAUUUAUUGGGCGUAAAGCGAGCGCAGGC
rnacentral:rRNA from 1 species